rnacentral:rRNA from 1 species
GACGAACGCUGGCGGCGUGCUUAACACAUGCAAGUCGAGCGGAAAGGCUCCUUCGGGGGUACUCGAGCGGCGAACGGGUGAGUAACACGUGAGUAAUCUGCCCUGUGCUCUGGGAUAGCCACCGGAAACGGUGAUUAAUACCGGAUAUGACCGCUACACGCAUGUGUUGGUGGUGGAAAGUUUUUCGGCACAGGAUGUGCUCGCGGCCUAUCAGCUUGUUGGUGAGGUAAUGGCUCACCAAGGCUUUGACGGGUAGCCGGCCUGAGAGGGCGACCGGUCACACUGGGACUGAGCCACGGCCCAGACUCCUACGGGAGGCAGCAGUGGGGAAUAUUGGACAAUGGGCGGAAGCCUGAUCCAGCAACGCCGCGUGAGGGAUGACGGCCUUCGGGUUGUAAACCUCUUUCAGUACCGACGAAGCGAGAGUGACGGUAGGUACAGAAGAAGGACCGGCCAACUACGUGCCAGCCGCCGCAGUAACAC